GUAAAACGUUUUGAAGGAAAUGAAGUGCUAUUUUGAAUUAUCGAUAGUACUUCGUAACUAUUGUUCAGUUAUUGAAGAUAUAUGAUUCCUAUGUUUCAAGCAUGUUGUUUAUUACAAUUGUUGUACUUGCUGAGCUAGUCAUGCUCACUCUUGCUUGAACCAUAUGAAUACAGCUAAGAUCGAACGGACCGAAGGCUUCAGCAAGGAUAAGGGCAAGACGAAGACGAACCCGU
rnacentral:lncRNA from 1 species